UCCACCCUCUCUCUCUCUCUCAUCCACCCUCUCUCUCUCACCCCCCUCUCUCUCUCAUCCACCCCAGGGUGUCCGCGGGUCCUUAAAAAGUCUUAAAUUGCUUUUCCUAAAAAUAAGGCCUUAAAAAGUCUUAAAUUCAGAUUGGAUUGGUCUUAAGUUUGUUGGGUGUCAUGUCAUUACGAAUAUGAGGCAUUCUGUUCCGCCAGGUCCGUAUUUUGCUCCGGUUGCUCUGCGGCGUCUCUGGUGUCACCGGGGCCACGCCCCUUCUCUUAAAGGGGCCCCGCGUAUUCGGUCCCAUCAAUCCCCGACAACGUGAAGCAUCGGCUACUUUAGAAAACAUGGGGGGGGGGGUGCAAGUUCAACAACGGCUUGAAAAGAACGAGUGUUUCUGGUCACGGUGGGUGAAAUGCUUCUGAAGCUGCGUUGUGUCGGGAGACUUUCCAGCGGUGGAAUCUCACGAGCAGAGCAAGAAGCACAGAGACUAGCGAAGGCCGCCAGCAGCCCGCGGGGCUAGCUGCUGCUCCGCCGCUAGCUCCUGCUCCGCCGCCGGCAACAACGUCAACGCUACAACGCUGGAGGUCACCGGAGGAAAUCCAGCGCCGUGCAACAAAGAGCUCAUCACCGAAGACCAACGCUGCGGCGCGUUCUUCAUUCUGUUCCACGAGACUCUGGACCAGACCACCACGAUCAGACAGCUGGACUUCAUGUGCGCUCUUGGUGACAUGACCCGGUCCAGUCAGGAUCCUGUGGAGCUCAUGGGCCAUGACACCAGGACCUACUUCAGCACCUCAAAGAGAAUGGACCAAAUGUCAACUGGAAGUUUUUAUAUUAAUACAGUUUGAAAAGGAUUGUUUUCCUAGUAUAUUCACAAAAGCUCAGGAGGAGACAUGAACCUGUGCACAAACAUCCAUCACAUAGAGACAUGUAUUUUUAAAAUAUAUUUACUUGAUAUAAGCAUUUGUUCAUGGGACUUAAAUGUUCUGAAAAUGUAUUAAUAAAUAUAAUUUACAACAGCAA